GGGUCUUUCAUCAUAAUAUCAGGAUUUUUCAGAUUUUUUUUUUUCUUGUCUUUUUUUCCACAUUUUGAAGUAUAUUUAAUACAGUAAAUUUCCUAUGCAAUCAAUUUUCAACAUAUCAACUGGUGUAUUUCAAUAGAUUUUUUUUCAAAUCUGAAAUCAGGUAUCAAGAGGAAAUGGUCAAAUUUCCAUAUCUUUCAAACUAACGAGAAAACUCCCCCUUUUUUACCUAUUAUGUUUUUUUCCUGAACUUUUUUGCCAUGAUCAGACUCCAUUCAACUUAUGAGUUUUAAUUCUCUCUUUGGAAUUGUCUGCCUAGUUUAAUAUAUGAAUGUAAGAGUACAACAAAUUUAAUUUUACUGCAUAAAAAAAUUACUGUUGACAUCAUUGCUAUCUCAAGUUUCAUUCAAAUAUAAAAUUUAUGCUUGUAAUUGUGAAUUUAAAAAAAAAAAGAAACAAAGGAUUUCUUUAAGAUGUUCAUUCAAAAGAAGAUAAUAUAAAUCUGUACACCUGGUCUUAUUGAAAAAUUCAUUUCUUAUUUCUUUUUCUCCCACACAUUAUUUGAUUUUAAAUAUUCUACCUCACAAUAUAAAACUAAUGGUUAUUGUAACAGCUGCAGAAAUUAUAUACAUGCCAUAAGGUUUCCAAAAAUACACCAAACCUAGACACACACUUAUUAUGCCAGACUUGUGCAAACUUUAUCAAUA
rnacentral:lncRNA from 1 species